ACAUAACAAUGUUAUUAGUGAAUUGGAAAGCCUCGAGAUCAACAAAUAUCGCCAAUUUCAAAUUUAAAAAAAUCAUUUGAGCAGUCAAAAGCAGUCUGGGUUAAAUCAAAGAUCAGACUCAUAGACAACGGAAAUCCGACCUACUACAUUGGUUGCAACUAUUGUGAUAAGAAAAUUAAUCGUAAUGAAGGUAUUAAAUUCCGAUGCAUGUUUUGUGGUCAUGCAAAUGCAAUUUCUAUCAAGAGAUACAGAUUAAUUGUUGAGCUAUUCGAUGGGACAGAUAGAAUUGAAGCAACAAUGUUUAAUCGUCAUGUGGAUAAGUUAUUUUCUUUAACAGAAACAGAAAAUGGAAAUGAUGACUUUGAUUUUCAAAAGCUCCAAAAAUAACUUGAUACACCCACUUUUGCAGUUGAGCUUAGGUGUCAACACCAAGACCGGGGAGGAAUGACAACUUACACAGUUGCAUCUAUUUGUGAAG